rnacentral:rRNA from 1 species
UACGUCCACCAUUCCAGCCUGAAUACACGUCAUCUCAUCUGAUUUCAGAAACUAGGCAGGGUCAGACCUGAUUAGUACUUGGAUGGGAGAGCAGAAGGAAAUACAGUGGUGCCUCAC